rnacentral:lncRNA from 1 species
GUGCGGAAGCAUAGCCAUCAGCGAUGUCGGUAACCAAACUCAACGUACGGACAAACAUUAUCAAGGAUCCUGAUAUCGUAGAAGCAUCCGAGUCGAUAAUAGAGGAUCUCGAUCCCGUCCUAUUAGACGACAAUGACAGGAAAAAAAAAGACUUAUAUCGGGCAAAAUCUCUCGGAACCAGGUAAGUUUCGUAAAUUCUUAACUAACAGUGUUAAUCUGUUUGCCUUCUCCCAUGCAGAUAUGCCAGGCAUCCUGAAAGACAUCGCCACGCACAAACUGAAUGUUGACCCCCUCUACCCGCCAGUGCGGCAAAUGGGGAGA